rnacentral:lncRNA from 1 species
UCAAUCAUCUCUUGCAUACUUUCAUAUACAUAUUAUCGUGCUUGUUGUUAAGCAAAACAUGGCAUCCUCAAAGGCUUUUCUUCUUCUUGGUCUUGUCUUUGCUGUUCUCCUCAUCUCCUCUGAGGUCUCAGCUACUCCAACUCGUGAGUUUCUCACUUUCUUAACUAAAUCAUAUAUAUUAAAUUAGUAAUUGUUUCUUUCCAGUAACGAUUUGUGAAUUUAGGCACAUUUUAAUUAAGGUGCACUGGUCGUGAAAAUGAUUAUGCUUCGAACUCUUUUUCUGCAUGUAGGGUUAGUGGUUGUUGCACUUGCGUGACUUAAUUUGCACCUUAUUAAAUACAAACCGAUCUAUGAUUGUUAUAAGUUAUGUAUAUGUUUUUGCUUUAUAUAUAAAAUUUUUGUUUGUUCUCUCAGAGGAGAGUAUAGUCAACGGUGAUGGCCACGGACAUGGAGGGUAUGGCCACGGACAUGGAGGUUAUGGACACGGACAUGGAGGGCAUAGCCACGGACAUGGAGGAUAUGGCCAUGGACAUGGAGGGUAUGGCCACGGCCACCACGGCAAAGGGGGGCCUGGUGCUGCUGAGACUGAAAUCGAGAAUUAGAUAACCUAUUAGUUUCUGUGACUUACGUUGCAGUUGUGUUGUAAGGGUAGUAGUACGAAAUAAAGUUGUUUGGUUGAGUAAUCUAUAUGAAAUAUCAAUCAUA